rnacentral:rRNA from 1 species
CCUACGGGUUGCAGCAGUGGGGAAUAUUGGACAAUGGGCGAAAGCCUGAUCCAGCCAUGCCGCGUGAGUGAAGAAGGCCUUAGGGUUGUAAAGCUCUUUCACCGGUGAAGAUAACGACGGUAACCGGAGAAGAAGCCCCGGCUAACUUCGUGCCAGCAGCCGCGGUAAUACGAAGGGGGCUAGCGUUGUUCGGAAUUACUGGGCGUAAAGCGCGCGUAGGCGGAUAGAUAAGUCAGAGGUGAAAUCCCGGGGCUCAACCCCGGAAUUGCCUUUGAUACUGUUUAUCUUGAGUGCAGAAGAGGUAAGUGGAAUUCCGAGUGUAGAGGUGAAAUUCGUAGAUAUUGGGAAGAACACCGGUGGCGGAGGCGGCAACCUGGCUCGAUACUGACGCUGAGGCGCGAAAGCGUGGGGAGCAAACAGGAUUAGAUACCCUUGUAGUC